CGUCCUUACCCUUCCCUGUCAAAAUGUACUGCCGCUAUGUAGAUGACACCUUUGUGAUUGUCGAAAAGAAAAACCUGCGUGCCAUGCAUGAGGCGCUAAAUGCCGUCCAUCAUGCCAUUCAAUUUACAUGUGAGACGGAGAAUAGUGGCAGCCUAGCCUUUCUAGACGUGCUGGUACAACGGAGCGAAGGAGGUUCGGUGGAGACAGCCGUAUAUCGCAAAUCUUGCGAUAGCGGGAGUGUGCUGAGUUUUGACUCUCACCACCCUAUAGAACACAAACAUGCCGUGGUACGCACUCUCCUGUCUCGUUGCGAUGCGCUCUCGUCAACGCAAACUUUGAGGGAGCAAGAAUUAACGAAUGUGGCCACUCUAUUGCAUAAGCGGAGUUACCCUGAGCACUUUGUCAAUGAUACGCAGCGCCGCAUGCAAAAACCUCGUGAGAGCAAGGCCGAAAGGCCAGCUUCCUUUGUGUGCAUUCCGUAUGUCCGCGGUGUAUCAGAAGCAGUGCGCAGGGCUUUACGGCCUUUAGGUGUUCGAACUGUGUUUAAACCCUCGUACACGUUGGCAAACGUGUUCCCGAAGCCAAAGGACCGCACACCUCCGGACGAACAAAGUGGUGUCGUCUACAAGGUCAACUGCUCGGACUGUGAUGCCAGCUACAUUGGCGAGACAGGGCGGCGACGUCGCACCCGUAUCAAGGAACAUCUAAGAGAUGCUACGAAAGCCACCCAUGCUACACGUGCCAAGACAGAAUUGGUUGAUCAUUGUUUAUCAAAGGGACACAUGUUUGAUUUUAACAAUGUAACCACACUAGCACGGGAACACCGAUGGGGCCCAAGAAAGUUCGUAGAAUCAUGGUUCAUCCGUCGUAAUCAAUCUUCAUGUAACUCUAACCGUGGCCCCCUGCCGGAUGUUUACGGCACUUUCAUAGAUAAAUAGGAUGUAUUUCUCAUUUGUUGCCAUUGUGUACUGACGAUGCCACCCGCAUAGGUGGCGAAACGUCUAUGUUUUUGUUAUACUUUGUUGAGUAAAGCCAGUGUAAACAACACUUUGAAGCAUGAGUUCCCCUGGCUUUUGGAACAUUUUCUCACGUAUCCGAUACAGUUACGGAUGUACCCUUCUUGGCCCUUUGAGGAAAUACAUCGACCACUCUACGAAGAUUGUCCGCCAGGAAUGCCACUUGCGUUUCAACUACAAGUGCCUGAACAGCAACGUUGUUCCCAAAAGCCUGCACUGCCGGACACUGGUCAACACGCCCUACGGACGCAAGCUUGCGAGAGACUUCAGCCGGAAUUGCUUAAAGGCCCGUAUCCAGGAAAACAAGCAGCAAAUUAACCAGGCAAGACGUAAAAUCUGCAACUUUGAGGCUUGUCUUCGCGCAAAACUGCACGUUGCUGACUUCAGUGAGGUCCUGGUAGCAAGAGCGAAGGCAGAACUCCUCGAAAGGGAAAAGUACACGCAUGCCCACAACAAGAAAUUGACUACCCUGAUCCCCAGUCUACCGCAAGGAAAGUUUGAGGCCACAAGUGUUCACAACCUUUCUGAAAAACGGCUGUCGCAAGACCAAGCCGCCAAUUCCUUAAAUGCUGUGAGGAGUCGGUCAAGCUUAUCAGGGCAUGGGUGUGUUUCAAUGUCUCCCGAACAGAGCAGCAAGUGAUCAAUGAAGAACAACACCAGCGCUAAUCGGCCUGUCAUGUAGAGCUUAUGUGCCGGUUUUCCUACACGAAGCCAUACCACACAACGCAUCUCGACUACAUUGCCACAAGGAAGAAAACAGCCAAUUCAAACACGGUCGUCUUAGGAGGUAAACCGGAAGUGCUGCCCAAGAAACAAGAGUGUCACUCGAUGCUCGUGCCACUAAUAACCGCUUCACGAAAGAUUGCUGCACAGAGAGUCCGACAUAUGCUUUGCAUUUGCAUAGAUUUCUUUUUUAGAAAGGCAGAAUUUGUCUCCUAAAGGAAAUAUAGCAGAGGCAGAAUUGUGCAACCACUUUAUUACAAUUCUUUUCUUUCUCCGGUUCCGUCACGUGGUCCGCCUAGAGCCAGGUUAGGCCAGUCGUGACCAGCAGAUAAUAAGGAGUAUACUAGAAAGAAGAGAAGCCUUACAUCAUACGGGCCUAGGUUUCGCUGUCUGGGCAGUUGGCCCAAAAAAUACAGUUUGUAAUUGAUAAAAUCCUAAAAAUCAAGAAAUCUCUCCAGGCACAUUCAACUGUACCUGUCUGAACAGGCCCUCAUAACAGUUACAUGACACCUGUCAUGACAGUUACAGUGUAUGGUUUGGCUCAAUGUAGCUAAAGUACCAGUUAAAAGUGAAAUAUGCAGCUUGCGUAAAUAUGUAAUGAAACCUGCCUGUAGGUAAACACAUCUUGAUCAAGUGUGCUAACAUUUUUGUGUAUAUUGUUACGGUGAAGUGAAGGAAGACGUUGAGUUGGACUAGAGAAAGACGAAGUCUGGCGGUUGCCUGAACGCCGAUAUAGGACCGUGUAAUCACUUUUUUUCUUUUUUGCCUGACUUUACAGCCAAUGUACUUGGUACAAUGAAAUUAGUGCCGUUCUCCUGCAUAUGUUCUUCUAAAGUUGCGUUCUGCAAGCCCUUAAUAUUACAUUUUACUUGUUGGUUUGUGUGUAUCUUAUACUGCUUCCUUACUUGGUGCUAUUGUUUAGUAAUGCAGAACUACUGUCUUUUUACUAGAAUGUGAAUCAUGCGUCAUGUUUCUGCGUCCCAUAUUUGUGCCACAUGCUUGAUGGUGUCAUUGUCAACGAACAUCGUGGGCCUCGGGAGCUUGUCAAGCUACGGCUUCUUUUACCGAGGUCUACUGCUCUUCGAAGCAAGAAAUAAAAUGAAAUGAAAUGAAAUGAAAUGAUGCUCUGCGGAUAGCUUACUAGUUUUCGUUACUUUCAACGAUUUUCGAAACCUACAAAUUAUGUACCUGAGGACUGCUAAGAGAAAAAGGCACACGGAUAGACGAAAAUGGACGGACGGACUACAUCUGUCCGUGUCCUUUUAUUGCAUAAGUAGUCCUCAAGUUCCACCUUUUCAGAGCCAGAAAGUCGUUUCAACUGAGAGCUCAGUUCCU